AAGGAGCCAAACUCAUCAUAUUGACAUGCUGACAGCAGUGACAGUAUCCCUGAGUGCUGGAACUCAGGCAAGCAUAAACAGGCCUGGCUGUGCUGCUCUGCCACAGCUCCUGCCACAGCCCUGCAGACUGCUCAGAAAGAAGACAAAAAGAAGAUACCAAGUAGAGAUGAGAGACUAGAGCCGGCAUGGUGAUUCAACAGGCUGAUCCGAUACCUGCAGCACCAUUAUUCCACUUGGUAGUUAGUUCUAGCAUUGGUUGCUUCAAUUCUGAUUCUCCUUGUUUAUGGACUGGGCAAUCAUCAGAGGAUGACUCAAGACCUUGGGUACCUGCAGCCACUGGGAAUGCUAGACUGCCUCUCUCUUUCUCCUGCUCUCUGUAUACCUUCGUUUUAAAAAAUAAAUAAAUCCAAAGGAACGAUA